CCUACGGGUGGCAGCAGUGAGGAAUAUUGGUCAAUGGGCGCAAGCCUGAACCAGCCAAGUAGCGUGAAGGAUGACUGCCCUACGGGUUGUAAACUUCUUUUAUAAAGGAAUAAAGUGAGGCACGUGUGCCUUUUUGUAUGUACUUUAUGAAUAAGGAUCGGCUAACUCCGUGCCAGCAGCCGCGGUAAUACGGAGGAUCCGAGCGUUAUCCGGAUUUAUUGGGUUUAAAGGGAGCGUAGAUGGGUUGUUAAGCCAGUUGUGAAAGGUUGCGGCUCAACCGUAAAAUUGCAAUGGAUACUGGCAGGCUUGAGUACGGUUGAGGCAGGCGGAAUUCGUGGUGUAGCGGUGAAAUGCUUAGAUAUCACGAAGAACCCCGAUUGCGAAGGCAGUUUACUAAACUGCAACUGACAUUGAUGCUCGAAAGUGCGGGUAUCAAACAGGAUUAGAUACCCCUGUAGUC
rnacentral:rRNA from 1 species